CACCUGCGCCACGAGUGGCAAUCGUAUUUAUUUGGCCUAAAGCGUUCGUAGCCGGAUAGGACAGUCUUGAGUGAAAUCGUUGCGCUUAACAAAACGGCGUGCUUGAGAUACUACUUAUCUAGGGACCGGGAGGCGUUAGGGGUAUUCCUGAGGGAGCGGUAAAAUGUUAUAAUCUCAGGAGGACCACCUGUGGCGAAGGCGCCUAACGAGAACGGGUUCGACGGUGAGGAACGAAAGCUAGGGGAGCAAACCGGAUUAGAUACCCGAGUAGUCCUAGCCGUAAACGCUGUGAACUAGAUGUUACGUAUUCUAUAGGGAUAUGUAGUGUCGGAGCGAAGGCAUUAAGUUCACCGCCUGGGAAGUACGGUCGCAAGGCUGAAACUUAAAGGAAUUGGCGGGAGAGCACCACAAGGGGUGCGGCGUGCGGUUUAAUCUAACUCUACGCAGAGCAUCUUACCAGCAGCGACGGCAGGAUGAAGGUCAGAUUAAAUGUCUUACCUGACGGGCCGAGAGGUAUUGCAUGGCGGUCGUCAGCUCGUGCCGUAAGGUGUCCUCUUAAGUGAGGUAACGAGCGAGACCCAUACCCAUAAUUGCUAACGGGUUCUACGGAAUGACUGAGCACCUUAUGGGGACUGCUCUGGAAACAGAGAGGAAGGUGUGGGCCACGGUACGUCUGUAUGGUCCGAAUCUGCUGGGCUACACGCGCGCAACAAUGGCGAGGACAAUGGGAUGCAACGCCGAAAGGCGGAGCUAAACCUCGAAACCUCGUCCUAGUUUAGAUUGAGGAUUGUAACUCAUCCUCAUGACAUCGGAAUCCCUAGUAAUCGGGCUUCAUCACGGCCCGGUGAAUAUGUCCCUGCUCUU
rnacentral:rRNA from 1 species